CAAUAGCAUAUAUUAACGUUGUUGCAGUUGAAAAGCUCGUAGUUGAACUUUUGGUAGGAGCGACCUGGCCUUGGGCGCAUGCCCUUGUUUGCCGUGUGUCGUAUCUGGCCAUCCUUUUCUUCGUUUUUCGGAGGAAUCUUUUACUGUGAGUAAACUGGAGUGCUCAAAACAAGACGUUUGUUUGGUACAUUAAAGCAUGGAAUAAUAAGAUAGGACCUGGUUACUAUUUUGUUGGUUUGCAUAGCUAGGUAAUGAUUAACAGGGACAGUUGGGGGUAUUCGUAUUUAAUUGUCAGAGGUGAAAUUCUUGGAUUUAUGAAAGACGAACGACUGCGAAANCANNNACCAAGGAUGUUUUCAUNAA
rnacentral:rRNA from 1 species